UACGAAGGGGGCUAGCGUUGUUCGGAAUUACUGGGCGUAAAGCGCGUGUAGGCGGCCAUCUAAGUCGGGCGUGAAAUCCCACGGCUCAACCGUGGAAGUGCACUCGAAACUGGAUGGCUAGAGUCCUGGAGAGGAAGGUGGAAUGCUUGGUGUAGAGGUGAAAUUCGUAGAUAUCAAGCGGAACACCGGUGGCGAAGGCGGCCUUCUGGACAGAGACUGACGCUGAGACGCGAAAGCGUGGGGAGCAAACAGG
rnacentral:rRNA from 1 species